UCGGCCCGGGAAGGUGGGGAAUACCUCGGGGAAACUCGAGCUAAUACCGCAUAACAUCAUCGGGACGAAAGUCCUGACGAUCAAAGCGGGGUCGCAAGAUCUCGCGCUACCGGAUGGGCCCGCGCCCGAUUAGCUAGUUGGUGAGGUAACGGCUCACCAAGGCUUCGAUCGGUAACCGGCCUGAGAGGGCGAUCGGUCACACCGGAACUGAGACACGGUCCGG
rnacentral:rRNA from 1 species